AGUUCUCACUCUGGUCUGCGGGUUUUAGGCUGUUUUUGGCUUGAAGGUGGGGUUUCACCGGGGACCCACCCCUAUCUUCCUAGGAUUUCUUUGCCUCCUGCCUUUAUUAAUUUGCAAGCAACACAAGCUCAUGAAGGGGCUCCAGUCCCUCUCCAGAUUCCAGGGCUUUGUGGUGUGGCAGGAUGAGUGGCCACACUUGAAAGACUCAGGAGACAGCGAGGUUUAACCUAAAGCCAUGAGCUGGGAAUCCACUCAAGCAGGAGGCUGAAAAUGCAAAUAUAGGAAAGUACAGUGACCGUGGAGUGGGGAUGCUGCAAGGCAGCCCGCACCCUUUGCCUCUGAAAUAACUACUUUUUGGAGGUGCCAGAGGAGAGAAUCGGUGGAGUGCCCUCCUGGAGUGGGAUCACAGCACCACCCAAGCCUAGAAUCGUCAUCUUCUGGCUGAGGAAACUGAAGCUUAAAAAUGUUAAACAACCUGCCCAAACCAAUCCAGUUGUUGAAGAGGAAAACAAACACACCUCAAAUACUGCUGUCAGCAUGGUCAUUUGGAAACCAGCAUGCCUAUUGGGAUUCAACAAGCAUUUAUUGAGCACCUACUAGGUGCUUGAACCUUUGGGUCUCAUUCUGUCACCCAGGCUGGAGUGCAGUGGUGCAAUCAUGGCUCACUGCAGACUUGACCUCCUGGACUCUGGACUCAAGUGAUCCUCCCACCUUGGUCUCCUGAGUAGCUAGAAGUACAGAUCCACUCUCCAUCCUUCUCUACUCUGUCUGUGCUGUGGGAGGCUGACCCCAUCUGUUUACUUCAGUGGAGCACUAGAGCCUGCAAGAACUGAUUGUAUGCAUCUCCUCCUAACUCCGUGUUUGGUGACUGUGGUAGGAAUAUUUACACUAUGGACACUGGCAAAUACUACAAGUAAGCAUGCAUGCACACAUACAUGUCUCAGAGCUUGUUGUUAAAUAUUUAUUUACUAGCUGACCACUGGGGCAACAUCAGUAUAUUCCUUGCCUCUGGCUUCUGCUUGGGUUUGGCCACUGGGUGGUACUUGCAAGGAAUUGAAUAGAGCAUGGUAAGAGAAUCGACUCUCCUGGCCUCCCUAACACAUUCUCAGAUUGGCUGAAUCCCUCUCCAAAGGCUUCAGCUGUGGUCAAGCACCCACUCAAUAAACCCAUCGUCUCU